GGGGAUUUAGCUCAGUGGUAGAGCGCUUGCCUAGCAUGUGCAAGGCCCUGGGUUCAGUCCCCA
rfam:Rattus norvegicus chromosome 14, whole genome shotgun sequence.